rnacentral:misc_RNA from 1 species
AACUGAUACUACCUGCGGGAACCUGCGGAAGGAUCAUUACCGAGUUUACAACUCCCAAACCCAAUGUGAACGUUACCAAACUGUUGCCUCGGCGGGAUCUCUGCCCCGGGUGCGUCGCAGCCCCGGACCAAGGCGCCCGCCGGAGGACCAACCAAAAACUCUUUUGUAUACCCCCUCGCGGGUUUUUUAUAUCUGAGCCAUCUCGGCGCCUCUCGUAGGCGUUUCGAAAAUGAAUCAAAA